CCCCGGCACCGCCCUCCGACACCGCCCCGGCACCGCCCCCGACGUACUCCUGCUCCCUCAGGCAACGACUCUUACCGAAAGCCAGCUGGAAGAGCAUCUCUGCACUGCAGUGAAAAGCUGCGGCUCUGGAAAGCUACCAUGUCAAAAACAAGCAGCAAGUACUAAGACUGAAUCACCAGAAAACAGAAGAAGGAAGAACCACCAGGAAGGGACCUGCUCAUGGGCAAGCAAUAGAGGAGAGAUAAGGAAGGUGAAUGACAAUACCAAGCCUUGGAGUCUUUAGAACUGCUGUCUUCUAUGACUUUAUUGUGGGUAUUGGAACAACUCAACACCAAGCAUUUAAAAAUCUCCGUGGAUUUCUGUAUUUAAGUAACUAAAUUCUAAACUAAACUAUAAACCAACACCCCUUUGCCCCGAUUUGUUCUUUCAAAGGUCUGAGCCUCGCUCACGGUUUUGAGCAUCCGAGCUGGUCGCUGUACCGCUCUGUUCAUCUUGACGGAAGGAACUAAGACCUCGCACCCUAGAGCCGGCGGGAGCUCACCGGCAGUCGCCGUGCCGGCAGGACCUGCCUUGGGCGGGCAGCCCGGGUGCGGCAGGUGCGGACGGAGAAGCGGGAGGCUCCCGCCGCCGGGGCUGCGCGGCUGCGGCGGGGCC